rnacentral:rRNA from 1 species
UACGUAGGUGGCGAGCGUUAUCCGGAAUUAUUGGGCGUAAAGAGCGCGCAGGUGGUUGAUUAAGUCUGAUGUGAAAGCCCACGGCUUAACCGUGGAGGGUCAUUGGAAACUGGUCGACUUGAGUGCAGAAGAGGGAAGUGGAAUUCCAUGUGUAGCGGUGAAAUGCGUAGAGAUAUGGAGGAACACCAGUGGCGAAAGCGGCUUCCUGGUCUGUAACUGACACUGAGGCGCGAAAGCGUGGGGAGCAAACAGGAUUAGAUA